AACGCUGGCGGCGUGCCUAAUACAUGCAAGUCGAACGGUCUUUUCUAUGGAAGCUUGCUUCCACUGAGAAGAUAGUGGCGAACGGGUGAGUAACACGUGGGUAACCUGCCCAUAAGAGGGGGGAUAACAUCCGGAAACGGGUGCUAAUACCGCAUAGUUUUCUUGAUCGCAUGAUCGGGAAAGGAAAGACGGCCUUUGUGCUGUCGCUUAUGGAUGGACCCGCGGCGUAUUAGUUAGUUGGUGAGGUAACGGCUCACCAAGACGAUGAUACGUAGCCGACCUGAGAGGGUGAUCGGCCACAUUGGGACUGAGACACGGCCCAAACUCCUACGGGAGGCAGCAGUAGGGAAUCUUCCGCAAUGGACGAAAGUCUGACGGAGCAACGCCGCGUGAGUGAAAGAAGGUUUUCGGAUCGUAAAACUCUGUUGUCAGAGAAGAACAAGUUGGAGAGUAACUGCUCCAGCCUUGACGGUAUCUGACCAGAAAGCCACGGCUAACUACGUGCCAGCCGCCGC
rnacentral:rRNA from 1 species